rnacentral:misc_RNA from 1 species
GUGAAUCAUCGAAUCUUUGAACGCACAUUGCGCCCCCUGGCAUUCCGGGGGGCAUGCCUGUCCGAGCGUCAUUUCUGCCCUCAAGCACGGCUUGUGUGUUGGGUGCGGUCCCCCCGGGGACCUGCCCGAAAGGCAGCGGCGACGUCCGUCUGGUCCUCGAGCGUAUGGGGCUUUGUCACUCGCUCGGGAAGGACCUGCGGGGGUUGGUCACCACCAUAUUUUACCACGGUUGACCUCGGAUCAGGUAGGAGUUACCCGCUGAACUUAAGCAUAUCAAUAAGCGGAGGA